rnacentral:tRNA from 1 species
GGAGAGGUGGCCGAGUGGUCCAAGGCGCUGCACACUCGGUGCAGUUUGCUCUCUGAGCAUCCGUGGGUUCGAAUCCCUCCCUCUCCC